rnacentral:rRNA from 1 species
UUCCCUAGUACGGCGAGUGACCGGGAAGAGCUCAAAUUUGAAAUCUGGCGUGCUCAGUGCGUCCGAGUUGUAAUCUAUAGAGUCGUUUUCCGUGCCGGACUGUGUCCAAGUCCCUUGGAACAGGGUAUCAAAGAGGGUGAUAAUCCCGUACUUGACACAAUGACCGGUGCUCUGUGAUACGUCUUCUACGAGUCGAGUUGUUUGGGAAUGCAGCUCAAAAUGGGUGGUGAGUUCCAUCUAAAGCUAAAUAUUGGCGAGAGACCGAUAGCGAACAAGUACCGUGAGGGAAAGAUGAAAAGCACUUUGGAAAGAGAGUUAAACAGUACGUGAAAUUGUUAAAAGGGAAACGAUUGAAGUCAGUCGUGACUGAGAGGCUCAGCCGGUUCUGCCGGUGUAUUCCCCUCAGUCGGGUCAACAUCAGUUUUGUUCGGUGGAUAAGGGCAGUUGGAAGGUGGCACCCUCGGGUGUGUUAUAGCCAGCUGUCGCAUACAUCGGAUGAGACUGAGGAAUGCAGCUCGCCUUUAUGGCCGGGGUUCGCCCACGUUCGAGCUUAGGAUGUUGACAUAAUGGCUUUAAACGACCCGUCUUGAAACACGGACCA